AGCGGAAGCGCGGGAGUGUGUUGUGAGAAAAGCCUCGGUCGCGUCGCGUUGGAAAGAGUCUUGAUCGUGAGUCGGCGUUUUGGGCCCGUCUGGAGGUGCUGGGCUCGGUAAUCUGCAGACAAGAAAAGUAUCAUUCAGGCUCAGAUUUGUGUUGAAGCCAGCCUCAGGAUUCACCUAUACUCACUGAUGAGUGGAUUUCUGUAAGAUCAGAGCACUGUCCUGAGGGUGCUUCCAGAAGAAGGGAGGCGCGUCCUGCCUCCCGGCUGCCCUGUUGCUGUCGGAGUCACAGGAUGGUGGCCCUUGUCCUACCUGCCACCGGUGGUGAGUCACGGGGUCUUAGCAUUUCUCAUAGUCCAGGAUUGAAAGGCUCUGACCCUCAGCCUGGCACAGGAGGGGGCUGGGCAGAGCAGGUGAGGCAGAAGUGGAGCCCCAGGGUCCUAGAGGUCCUCCGUGCCCGACAGGGCGGCUCUUGGGAUUUGGGACUUAGGUGUUUGGGUGUCUGUGGAUGUGACCAGUUAGUGAAUGUCCUGGAGCUUUUGAAUUCUCCCUUUAUUUCUUUCUGUGAACCUGAUAAAAACAGUGAUGUCUUUGGAAGCUGCUUCCUCAUCUAUGAAGUGGGAAUAAUCUCUUCCCCAGGUGCAGUCAGACCUUAAGCCCUGUUACCUUUCGUUGGUGAGACAGGGCUGUUUGGGUGUCUUAGGAGAGCUGUGGGUAAGUGUUUGCAUGGGGUGUAGGUAGGUGCUGUGUGGGCAUAGGAGGGGGAUGUGGUCAGUCACAGGCAGAUACAUGGGCGUUAGACAAGCCUAAAUCUCCGGGACUCAUUUCUCCUCCUCCAGCUGCGUCUUCCCCAUUCUCAGCCUCUCGGUAAAAAGGAUACACAGAAGGCUGAGGGCUGGUUAAUGAGCUCCUGACAAGCUGGCUACAGGGGUUGGUGACCUUCGAGGAUGUGGCUGUGGAGUUCACCCAGGAGGAGUGGGCGUUGCUGGACCCUGCCCAAAGGAUGCUACACAGGAACAUGACGCUGGAGAAUUUCUGGAACCUGUCUUCCUCACUGGGGAACCAAGUUGAUAAACCUAGUCUGAUCUCCCAGUUGGAGCAAGAAGAUAAAUUGAUGACAGAAGAGAGAGGAAUUGUCCCAGGCACCCAACCCGAUCAGUAUCAAUGCGUUGGGAGAAUGACACCAGUGCAGUUUCUCCUCGGAUUAAAGCAGCAGUCCCCAGGGCGGUGCAGCCUGCUACACCAAGUCCCGCCAAGAGAGGCACUAGAAUUGGGGCCCUGUGGCUGAACCUGGAGUGUAGUCCCGGUGGGCUGAAGAGGAGGUGUCCUUCUGAUCCGCCAUACGCAUAUACUUGGAGAAGUACAUGGACCAAGACACACAGUUUGGGCCCUGUCUUCAGAGUUUGUUCCAUUUAUGCAACGGGUGAGACUGGAGGUGCAGGCCAACCAGAGGCCACUGGGAGCUCUACUGGACAAUGAGGAGUUCCUAACAAUCUCCCACAUCCCAGCCAAGGCAUCCCGAGGUCACGCUGGGAGCCCCAGCUGAAAAGAAGGCUGACUUCCGAGAUUACGGCAGACUGGAAGGAGUAGUGAUUACAGUGACCUGACAGGAAAGGCCUUGACUUGGCCUCGAGCAGGGCCAGGAUUUCCUCUGUUUCCGAGUUUUUCCUGCAGAGGUAAGUAAUCCCCUCUCCUGGUAUACGGCCUCAUGUACAUGUACAGUAGCAAAGGCGUACCGACUGUCAUUGUGGAUGUUUACUUGCUUGUCUUUGGCCCUGGGUGAGGGCUACUAGUUCAGCCUUUCGUGCGGAGGUGCCACCGGUAGUGCUUGGGCCCAAAUAAUAUUGGUCUCUUGUUGUGAUAGCUGCACCGGCCCUGCAUACCCCCUGGUUGAUGAAACUGCUUCCAUCGGUGAACAGAGUGGUGUCCACCUGUUCCAGAGGGAUAUCUUCCAAGUCUGGCCUACAGGUCUUAGUGACCUCAGGUAUUUCUUGGCAGUCAUGAAUGGGAGCAGAGAAGUCUGGGUCUGGGAGCAAAGUUGCCAGAUUCACGCAGCAUGCAGGAUGGAAAGUCAGCCUGGGCUGGUCCAGUAGCAGGCUUUGGUACUGUAAGAUCUGCGAGUUUGACAUCCAUUUUUCCGAGGCACUCCUGAGCAGAGUUUCCACUGCAUGGGGUGCCGUAAGGGUCAGUUACUGGCCCAAGGUUAAUUUACCGGUUUCCUGGACCAAACUUGGAGUAGCUGCCACUGCCCACAGGCAGCUUGGCCAAUCAGAAGCCACUGGGUCCAAAUUUUUUGAUAAGUAGGCAUCUGGCUGCCACCAUGGUCCCAGGGACUGGGUGAGGACUCCCUUAGCCAUGCCCUUGUUUUCCUGGACAAACAGGUGGAAAGGUUUUGACACAUCAGGGAGUGCAAAGCCAGUGCUUCAGUGAGAGCCCUUUUUAAGUUCUGGAAGGCCCGUUCCUCUGUCUCAAUCUAGACCAAGUCUCCGCUUUCACUGGUCACAGUGUAGAGGGGCUUUGCGAUUUCUGUGAACCCCGGAAUCCAGAGGCGGCAGUACCCUGCUGCCUCCAGGAAUUCCCACAACUGUUUUUUUUUUUUUUUGUGGUAGGACUUGGAAUUUGUAAGAUAGCCUGUUUUUGAGCAUCGGAAAGUGCUCGCUUUUCUUUGGUGAGUUCAUAUCCUAAGUAAAGUACCUUCUGGAGGCAGACUUGGGCCUUUUUUGCUGAGACUUGGUAUCCAAGUCCUUGGAGGAGACACAGCAAGUCUUUUGUAUGUUGUAGACAGCUGUUGGCUGUUUCCAUGGCCAGCAGUGAGUCAUCUGCAUACUAGAGAAGGGUGCAGUCUGGAUAACUGGCUCAGAAAGGCACUAGGUCCUGUUGGAGAACAUCUCCAAAAAGGGUAGGAGAAUUCUUGAACCCCUGGGAUAAGUGGGUCCAAGUAAGUUGGAUGGUGUCUCCUGAGUUUGGAUCUGUCCAUUUGAAAGCAAAGAUUGGCUGGCUGCUGGCGGCCAAGGGGAUGGCGAAGAAAGUGUCCUUUAAGUCCAAAACAGUGUAUACUGGAUGGUUUGGUGGGAGCAGGCUGAGGGUGUAUGGGUUCAGGACAGUCGGGUGAACAGCGACCAGACUGCUUGUUAACGUCCCAUAAGUCCUGGACCAGCCGAUAGUCAUUGGUACCAGCCUUCUUUACUGGCAGGAACAGAGUAUUCCAGACCGAUUUGCACAGCCUUAAAAUAUCUGCCUGCAGUAGCCGCUGUAUGUGGGGACUUAGGCCUUCCCUGGCUUUUUGCCUCAUGGGAUACUGUUUUACUUGUACCGGUAGAGCUGUAGCCAACAAGUCCACUGUCCCAGGGGGUUUGAUUCUGCCCAAAAGUGGGGAAACUAGGCCUCUAAUUCCAGCAUAAGUGAGCCGUUUUCUGAGGCUACGGCUGGGGUAUUUAAAACCAGGAGGUAUUCUUCUGACACGGGGAUGGUCAGUAAGAGGUGGGUAGUUGAUGAAUCGUGGUCCUCUAAGGUGAGAUGAGUUCCUCGGGUUGAGAAAAGAGAUAGAGGCUUGCAGUUUAUGGAGUAGGUAUCUUCUCAUUAGGGGACACAGGCACUCCGAAACUACCAAGAAGGAAUGAGUUACUCUUUCCUGGCCUAGAUUUACUUCUGGGUAGUUGCAGAUAGUCCCUGUGGCCCCUAGAACUGCUCCUUUUGUGAUUGGUGACCUGGCCCAAAGGUGUUUUUAAUACUGAGUGUUCGCUCCAGCUUCAAAUUAAAAAUGUUACAGCGUGACCCCCUGGAGACUCAUUGGUCCCCUGGACCACUUCUGUGGUUUUAGGUAAAUUCAUGGGAUUCCGUGCAGCUCCCUUAAUACCUGAGAGAAGAUACCGGUGGAAGUUGUCCAAAGCCCUUCUCCCCGCCGAGAAGUUAGGGUCCAGUCUGGUCCGGUUGAGGGGGAAACUUCCUCCAACCAGGUCCUGCCCUCCUCUUCAGGUUGGCCAGUGGAGGAUUUGCUGACAGUCGUCCCAAGUAGAACGAUGAGUCUGGAGUAUGGAUUCCACCAGGAGGUCAGAACCUGGGUUUUUUCAGAAAACAGCAGGUUGAGUUCUCUAAUUAUAUAAAUCAGAGGUGGAAAAUGGGACAUAAACCAAAAAUGGGGUUGAUUGUUCACUACCAGCCGGAGGCGGUGCUUCCCUCAAAGGGAGGAGGGGAGCAGCCUCCACCUUCUGUUGUGGCCAAAGCCUGGAGGCCACAGGUGGUGAUGCAGUGGCGGGUACAGAAAAAGUAACGGUGAGCAACAACUGGGUCAUAGGGCAGAGGGAGGAUUGGGGGGAAACCUUUGUCCUCCCCAGACGGGGGCAGGACUGGAGGGGCCGAGCUGAAGAGGGUGGUGACCGAGUAGUAUGGUUGAGUACCUUAGAGGCAGGGUUUUGAGCUGUGCAGGACUGCAGCCACGGUGGUGGGUUCAGGACCAGCCUUAGCUACUGAUCAAUAUAUAGGAACUGGUUGGGGUGACCUGGGUUUCUUGUGACUACCCUCCAAACUGCCUGGACCACGUCAGGGCCUGUGUUCGGCCAUCCCAUGUCAAAGGUUGGCCAUUCUAAUUCACAUAGGGUUCAGGGCUGGCCCUUGGAGAGGCGAACUCCAGUGAGAUAAUCUAGCCUGUCUAUGGUGACUCCAUUUUAAGCAAUCCUGUUAACUCCCAUUCUGAUCACCCUUAGCUACACAGAGCACUUUGUUCCUGAAACUUUGUAGCCUGAGGCACCUGGUAUUUUGUAACCGGUUUUUCUGAGAAACACUGCCCACUGGCCCGUAAAUCCUGUACAGGUAUUGAUCAACUUACGACCUAUGCAACUUCCGACCAUUCGACUU